rnacentral:lncRNA from 1 species
ACAUAUUAAAAAAGGCAUAUAUCUGUCACGGAUCUAAAAAGAAAAAACUAGGAUUUCCGGAGAAAACCCAAAAAAGAGAAGAGGCUUAGAUAUCACCGGUGUUUGCCCAAAAUAAUGCAAGGACCUUACUCGAAUGGCCAUAGGAGGCUGAAAAGCAUGACAUGAUAUCGGAGAUGGGAGUGUAUUGCCUCAGGGUCGCUUUGAAGCCUCCAUCGGUUACACGGACAUGAAAGGUGGAGUCAUAGGGUCGAGCAGAGGUGAAACUCCAUAGUUUCCGGCCAAGAAGGUGGUCGGAGAAGGAAAGACAUAGCUCAAAAGGGGGGAAGAUUCUAGAGACAGUCUCAGAGAGAGAGAGAGAGAGAGACAAUUGAG